rnacentral:rRNA from 1 species
UUGAACGCUGGCGGCAUGCCUUACACAUGCAAGUCGAACGGUAGAGGGGCGACCCUUGAGAGUGGCGAACGGGUGAGUAAUAUAUCGGAACGUGCCCAGUCGUGGGGGAGUAACGCAGCGAAAGCUGCGCUAAUACCGCAUACGAUCUAUGGAUGAAAGCGGGGGAUCGCAAGACCUCGCGCGAUUGGAGCGGCCGAUAUCAGAUUAGGUAGUUGGUGGGGUAAAAGCCCACCAAGCCGACGAUCUGUAGCUG